AAUCAGAUGUCAAAUAAUAUUCAAACACGGAGCAAAGCACAGAGACACAGAUCUCAGACCAGCACAAGGAUACAGAUAGAUUUAAAAGGACCCAACAUUUGUGGCAGCAGGUGUUGCCUUUCAUGGGUAGUCAACCCCAAGACCAGACAAUGCACAAAACCAAGAUGUCAUCCUCGAUGCCAUAAUAAAGCAAUUUGUCGUCGAACAAACAUCUGUCAGUGUCGCCCGGGCUUUCACGGCCAUCGAUGUGAACAUUCUAGCAGUUCUUCAGCGCCAAGCUCCUGGUUUGAGGCCCAGCUUGCUCCCACCAUACCUUCAACAGCAGCCACAUCAGCGUUCACUGCAGUUUCUACCAUCACAACCACACCUGAG